rnacentral:lncRNA from 1 species
GGUUAUGAGUUCUUUUACCUUUUCAUAGUGUUAAGUACGGAUAUUCAAAAGAAAUGUCCUAACACGACUUUUUAGAGAGAGGCUAUCUCUUCUUUCUAAAAAAUCUCUUCUCAAACUUUUAGAGUUUGUUGGUAGCUGCCUCCCAAUUUUAUGGUAGCUUUGAUCUACCACCUAUAUGACGGUCAUCUCACUACUACGGAAUAUAUAUCUUAUCACGGUUGGGAGAAAGAUUCUACUAUGAACGGUGAUCUGUGGUAAAGUAAGAUGUGGCUGUAUGUGUCCUCUUUACCAUCACGAACUACUAGACGUUGUAAAAACAUAGAAGCGCAUAAUAUACCAAUACAUAUGUAUUAAACAACCGUAGUAAAAGGUUGAGGUCAGGUUUUGAUACCUAGCGCCAGAAUUUUUUGCAGAUUUCAAUACAUUUCACCACGAUUCUAUAUCUCAAUCGUGGUAAAAGACUUAGCGCACAAUAUUUCACUAUGAUCCUCAAUUCCAACCGUGGAGAUAUGCUUAUUUGAGUUUAUUAUAAAUUAUGUGAAAUGUUUAUUUCACAAACUACUCACUAAAAAUAAUACCUUUCAAUAUGAGUUAGAAAUUAAUAAUUUGAUAAAUUAAGUUAUAUUUUUAAAAGAACAUUUACACUAAUCAAUAUUUUACGAACUUUUAUAAUCCAUUAUCCGCAUUUUACUCUUUAACGAUUAGAACUUGUUUCAAUGCUUAUAAUUCUUCUGUUAACACUUCUUACACCUCUAGUUAAUUUUACAAAAUAUUAUUUAUUUUGUAGACAAAAUUAGAGGUUAAGGAAGUAAUAGUUGAAGAACUAAAAACAUUGAAUCACGGUCUAACCUUUAAAGAGAAAGAUAUGAAUAAUACUCUGCAGAAAGCUCGUAAAAUAUUGAUUAGUAUAAGUUAUUUUCUAAUAUAACUUAAUAAAUCAUAUUAUAAUUUUCUAACUCAAUUCGAAGGUUAUAUAUAUUUAGUAAGGGGUUGGAAAAACACUCAAACCAUAUAUGAUAUCAUAAACUCAUCUUCUAUGACAUGUUGAUUGAACGUAAUGAAAGUUGCAAUGUACAACAACAUAGAACUUUUAUCGACAACAACAUACCUUAAAGAACAUAGAACUUUUAUCAACAAAAAAAUAAUCAUCAACAACAUAGAACUUUUAUCAACAACAACAUACUUUAAACAACAAACAACAUAACUCAACAAAAACAAAAACAUCAACAACAUAGAACUUUUAUCAAAACCAACAUACUUUAAGCAACAUACAUAUCUCAACAAAAACAAAAUCAUCAACCAUAGAAUUUUUAUCAACAACACCAUACUUUAAACAAUGUACAACAUAGCUCAACAAAAACAAAGUCAUCAACAACAUACAACUUUUGUCAUCAACUACAUAUUUUAAAUAACAUACAACAUAGCUAAAAAA